UACGUAGGCAGCAAGCGUUGUUCGGAGUUACUGGGCGUAAAGGGUGUGUAGGCGGUUGGAUAAGUGUGGUGUGAAAUCUCCCGGCUCAACUGGGAGGGUGCGCUACAAACUGUCUGACUCGAGUGUGGGAUGGGUAAGUGGAAUUCCACGUGUAGCGGUGAAAUGCGUAGAGAUGUGGAGGAACACCGAUGGCGAAGGCAGCCUUCUGGGCCAACACUGACGCUCAUGCACGAAAGCGUGGGGAGCAAACAGG
rnacentral:rRNA from 1 species